rnacentral:rRNA from 1 species
GAAUAGGUGCCCGUACCGCAAACCGACACAGGUAGGUGAGGAGAGAAUCCUAAGGCCAUCGGAAGAAUUGCUGUUAAGGAACUCGGCAAAUUGACCCCGUAACUUCGGGAGAAGGGGUGCCUACGAAAGUAGGCCGCAGAGAAUAGGCCCAAGCAACUGUUUAGCAAAAACACAGGUCUCUGCUAAAGCGAAAGCUGAUGUAUAGGGGCUGACGCCUGCCCGGUGCUGGAAGGUUAAGGGGAACACUUAGCGUAAGCGAAGGUGUGAACUUAAGCCCCAGUAAACGGCGGCCGUAACUAUAACGGUCCUAAGGUAGCGAAAUUCCUUGUCGGGUAAGUUCCGACCCGCACGAAUGGCGUAAUGAUUUGGGCACUGUCUCAACAGCAAAUCCGGCGAAAUUGUAGUGCAAGUGAAGAUGCUUGCUACCCGCGAUUGGACGGAAAGACCCCGUAGAGCUUUACUGUAGCUUAGCAUUGAAUCUCGGUAUUGUCUGUACAGGAUAGGUGGGAGACUUGGAA